rnacentral:rRNA from 1 species
GUAGGUGGCAAGCGUUGUCCGGAAUUAUUGGGCGUAAAGCGCGCGCAGGUGGUUCUUUAAGUCUGAUGUGAAAGCCCCCGGCUCAACCGGGGAGGGUCAUUGGAAACUGGGGAACUUGAGUGCAGGAGAGGAAAGUGGAAUUCCACGUGUAGCGGUGAAAUGCGUAGAUAUGUGGAGGAACACCAGUGGCGAAGGCGACUUUCUGGCCUGUAACUGACACUGAGGCGCGAAAGCGUGGGGAGCAAACAGGAUUAGAUACCCUGGUAGUCCACGCCGUAAACGAUGAGUGCUAAGUGUUGGGGGGGUGUCCCGCCCCCUCAGUGCUGCAGCUAACGCAUUAAGCACUCCGCCUGGGGAUACGGUCGCAAGACUG